UCUCCCUUCUUUGUUCACAUUAUCAACAAUCUAUGUAAUUCCUUACAAAGUCGAUCAUUGUCUUGGGAUUAAUAAUUCCAUUUUGCACUCUCAAGAACCUCCUGUUUCUUCAGAAUAUUUCCCCAGGUGGGGAAGUCACCACUUCUUUUAAUUUGUUGGUGGAUAAGGUCCCGCUGCUUAAAUUACCUUUGAUGAAACCGGACUCAGUUCUUUGACUAAUCCCAUUAAAUUCCUUAGAUCCUUCCUAUUUGUUGGAUUUAGAAAUUUACUAAUUGUACUCCAUUUAUCAGGAUCAACUUCUGUGCCUUCUUUAAAUAUGUAAUGCCCAAAAAAUUUUACUCAUGGUUGAACAAAUAUAAAUUUAUCAGGAUUUAAAGUAA
rnacentral:lncRNA from 1 species